rnacentral:rRNA from 1 species
AGCAGUAGCCACGGGAAUACGAAGGGUGCAAGCGUUACUCGGAAUUACUGGGCGUAAAGCGUGCGUAGGUGGUGGUUUAAGUCCGUUGUGAAAGCCCUGGGCUCGACCUGGGAAUUGCAGUGGAUACUGGGUCACUAGAGUGUGGUAGAGGAUAGUGGAAUUUCCGGUGUAGCAGUGAAAUGCGUAGAGAUCGGAAGGAACAUCUGUGGCGAAGGCGACUCACUGGCCCAUUACUGACGCUGAGGCGCGAAAGCGUGGGGAGCAAACAGGAUUAGAUACCCCCGUAGUCCCUGUCUCUUAUAC